rnacentral:rRNA from 1 species
GCAGCAGACGGGCUAGCAUGCGGGGUAAGAGUUCGGGGGGAAGCGUGUUCCGGUGGGAUUGGGCGUAGAGGUGUGGUAGGCGGCCAGGGAGGGCCGCGUUUGAAACGCGAGGCGCAACCUCGAGAGGUCGGUGGAAAGCGUCUGGCUAGAGUCCGGAAGAGGGGAGGGGAAUUCCUGGUGUAGCGGUGAAAUGCGCAGAUAUCAGGAAGAACACCCGUGGCGAAGGCGGCUCUCUGGGACGGUACUGACGCUGAGACGCGAAAGCGUGGGGAGCGAACAGGAUUAGAUACCCGUGUAGUC